rnacentral:rRNA from 1 species
GAUGAACGCUAGCGGCAGGCCUAAUACAUGCAAGUCGAACGGUGUCUUCGGACAUAGUGGCGCACGGGUGCGUAACACGUAUGCAACCUACCUUACAUUGGGGGAUAGCCUUUCGAAAGGGAGAUUAAUACCGCAUAAGACAGUAAUUUGGCAUCAAGUAGCUGUUAAAGAUUUAUCGAUGUAAGCUGGGCAUGCGUCCAAUUAGUUAGUUGGUGAGGUAAUGGCUCACCAAGACGAUGAUUGGUAGGGGAACUGAGAGGUCAAUCCCCCACACUGGCACUGAGAUACGGGCCAGACUCCUACGGGAGGCAGCAGUAGGGAAUAUUGGGCAAUGGGCGCAAGCCUGACCCAGCCAUGCCGCGUGCAGGAAGAAGGCGUUCUGCGUUGUAAACUGCUUUUAUAUAGGAAGAAACGGCCCUUGCGAGGGACAUUGACGGUACUAUAUGAAUAAGCACCGGCUAACUCCGUGCCAGCCGCCGCCGUAACAC